GACAGAGGCCUCAAGCGUUGUUCGGAUUCAUUGGGCGUAAAGGGCGCGCAGGCGGUCGUUCAAGUCGAGUGUGAAAGCCCCCGGCUCAACUGGGGAGGGUCACUCGAUACUGAUCGACUCGAAGGCAGAAGAGGGAAGCGGAAUUCCCGGUGUAGUGGUGAAAUGCGUAGAUAUCGGGAGGAACACCAGUGGCGAAGGCGGCUUUCUGGUCUGCUCUUGACGCUGAGGCGCGAAAGCUAGGGUAGCAAACGGG
rnacentral:rRNA from 1 species